UGGAUUGAGCCUGUGACUAGCCUUCUUCAGCAUAUGUAAAAUGAUGUCUGCUUUUCUUAUUUGUCAUUUCACUGACUUUUUAUAUACAGUAGUUUCCCCAUAUCCAUGGAGGAUACAUCCCAAGACCCCCAGAGGAUGCCUGAAACCACAGAUAGUAACAAAUCCUAUGUAUCCUAUGAUUUUUCCUGUACAUCCAUACCUAUCAAAAAAAUUGAAGUUCAAGUACAAGAAGAAUUUGCACAUCGCCCAGGUUUUAAUUUGGAAGGUUUCUAAUGGCCCUCUGUCCUGGUGCUCACUGUGAACCCUAAGUGCUUGUGCUAGAAUCCAAUUCUGACGUUAGCUGCUCUGCCACAGCUUCCAAUCAGAAGCGGUCACAUUCGGACUCACCAGGCCUGAGAUGUUGGAAGAUGGAAAAGCGCUUGCCACGGGAAAAAUCCUCCAGGAACACAAGAAUGAAACUUGGCCUGCACCUGGGACAUCCUUCUCUACGGCUGGUCUACAAAGCAGGCGCUCUACACACGCUCCUUGGCUGACCCCAAUGCAGACAAGACGCAUGUGAGCCGCACCCGCACUGCAGGCAGGGACAUUUGCCUCCCUUUUAUAAUAGCUUAUUCGACUACGGUAUCCUGGAAGCCUCGUUCUGAUAGGAUGAGAGCGGACUCCGUACUACAACACGGAUUGGAUAAUAGUCUCCAACUCUGAUUGGUUAAGAUUAUGCAAUCAGAGAUGGAGAUUAUCAUCCAAUAAGAGUUGUGCAAAAGUAUCCUUGCGCAGUGGUCGUCAUGGGCCGGAAGCGACGACCGGGAGCGCGUGCGGUGCGCACCUGCUUUGAAACCAGCCACAGAGAAAGGUGUCCCAGGUGCAGGAGGAGCUUCCUUCAUGUGUUCCUGGAGGACCGUCCCAAGCCCCUGUCCAUUCUCCCAACCUCUCGAGCCUGGAGAAUCUGGAGGUGAGCGCAUCCCAUGGGGCCCGAGGCACAGAGAGAGAGGAACGGGGUAGAGGGAGGGAAGCGUGUGCAGGGGCCCGGAGCGCCAGGCUGCCCAGGCUUCGCCCCGCGGCCGCCGGGAGCUGUGGCCCCUCUUGGGCCAAGGCAGAGUCCAGCCCUCCUGCUGCUGGCACUGUCACCACCCUGGGGUCCUGCCUUCUGGGUCCCUGCGGGCCUCCUGUCAUCUGGCACUGGAAAUAAGCUAGCGAAGCCAAAUUUCGUGAAUAUUGGCCCUUGCAUCUUUUUCUUCAUUUUCAAUGCUGGUUUUUCUGUUGAGUCAUUUGUGUUCUUACAUUGAUUUGAAUAAUUUUAAAAGGUAUUUUAUAAAUUAAUUCUUUAUGGGCUCAUUUCUAGUGUAAAUAGUUGUUUCCUAGUCUGGUCAUCGUUCCUUAAUUUUAUUUUGCAUUUCUUUCUUGCUGGUACAUAGGAAUCUAAUUGAUGUUAUGUAUUCAUCUUGCAUCCUGCAGCCUGGCUUAAUUGACAUAUUCAUAGCCAUCAUUUUUGGAUUGUGGUGCAUUUUUCAUGUACAUAAUAGUGUCAGCCACAUACAAUAACAGCUGUAUUGCUUAGAUGUUGGUUCUUAUACCUUUAUUUUUGUUAUAUUGUCCCAAUUACACCUCAGCACUGUGUGAAAUAGGGGGGAUGUGUCCAAGUCUUACUUGGUUCUGUUUACAGGGGAAAAGCUUCGGUGGUCCUGUACUGUAAUUUCAUUUUAGACAAGCUUAAUCAGAUUAAGGAAGCUGCCUUACUUUACAUUUACUAAGAGUUAUGACUAAUUGUUGAAUUUGAAUUAAAUGCUUUUUUUACA